UACGUAGGGCGCAAGCGUUAUCCGGAAUUAUUGGGCGUAAAGAGCUCGUAGGCGGUCUGUCGCGUCGGAUGUGAAAAUCCAGGGCUUAACCCUGGACCUGCAUUCGAUACGGGCAGACUAGAGUUCGGUAGGGGAGACUGGAAUUCCUGGUGUAGCGGUGAAAUGCGCAGAUAUCAGGAGGAACACCGGUGGCGAAGGCGGGUCUCUGGGCCGAUACUGACGCUGAGGAGCGAAAGCGUGGGGAGCGAACAGG
rnacentral:rRNA from 1 species